rnacentral:lncRNA from 1 species
AAGCAAAGAGAAAUGCACAAGCGGAGACAUACAUAAUGGCUUACACAAGGGUAAGCAAUAGCCGAAGUGAAAGAAUACUAAACUACACAAGUAUAAAGGUUAACUUUAAACCCUUUACAAGCAUUCAAACUUUACAUUCACAAUUCUUUUACCAUAUACAUGCUUUUCAUCAUUUCUUUCUUUACAACACAAUUUCAUCCAAAAUGGGCUUUUACAUUUAACAUCUAUGA